AUGAGAUUUGGGUGCAGACACAGCCAAAUCAUAUUGCUAUUCUUAUCAGUUUAAUAUCUGAUGUGUCCUCUAUUUGGGCAUAAUAUAUAAAACAAAUUUUUGGAGAAGGGAGAUACAAUAGGAGCUUGUUCCAUCCACUCCAUGCAUUAACCUGGUAUUGCAGUACCUCCAGGAAUGGUGCAACUUCC
rnacentral:snRNA from 1 species